GAUCAAUAUCUAAGGAUCUCUUGAGGAAAAUACAACUGAAAUGCCUUAUAUUUAUAUUGCAAUGUAGUAGCAUCAUUUGAAAGAAAACUAUAUUUACACCUUUGGACAGGCUACAGUGAGGACAGAAGCUCCUUUUCAACUUCAGUUCACAAAUCUAAAGGAAAUCUAUGAAAAACCUCAGUCUGGCUAUUGGAACCUUCUUCUAUCUCACAAAAUUUCAAUCUAAUAUUUGAAAAAACUGGUGAAACUUUAGAAAAUGAUGUUAGUCUCUAUGUGAGUUUAAAUAACAUUAGACAAUCUCCAUAAUAAUAAAUCCAUUAAUUACUGAUGUUGUGACAUAUUAAUGUAUAAAGUAGAAAUUUUAAAUUAUUAAGAUGAACUAAAAAGUAACAACAUUUUUCACUUUUGAAUCUUUUGGGGAAGAUAUUUCUUAAUAAAAUGAGAAAAGACACAAAAUGAAUAAAAAUUGGGACACGCUGAAUGUUAAGUAGAUACUUCCAAAUUAUUUAUCUUUAGUAUGCCUCAACUUUUCUCUUUUUAAUUGUGUUUAUUUGCAAAAAUAAAGAGGCUUCCUUAUUUGUAGUUUGAAACAAGUGAAUCUGAGGUAAUGGAAAACUCAAGAAAAUGUAUUAGAACAAAAUACAAUGCUAUAUUUAACUUCACAUAUUAUGUAAUCUAUGAUGGGGAAAAUAUAAAGGAAAGAAAUCAUAGGAAUAAAGUUUGUUUCAUUUUAA